rnacentral:rRNA from 1 species
GUUUGGCCUCGGAUCAGGCGGGGAUACCCGCUGAACUUAAGCAUAUCAAUAAGCGGAGGAAAAGAAACCAACUGGGAUUGCCUCAGUAACGGCGAGUGAAGCGGCAACAGCUCAAAUUUGAAAUCUGGCGCCUUGGGCGUCCGAGUUGUAAUUUGUAGAGGGAGUCUCGGGUUAAGGGUCGGUCCAAGUGCCUUGGAACAGGAUACCGAAGAGGGUGAGAGUCCCGUAUCCGGCCGACGCCAGCGCCCGUGUGAGGCCCCUUCGACGAGUCGAGUUGUUUGGGAAUGCAGCUCUAAAUGGGUGGUAAAUUCCAUCUAAAGCUAAAUACUGGCCAGAGACCGAUAGCGCACAAGUAGAGUGAUCGAAAGAUGAAAAGCACUUUGAAAAGAGAGUCAAACAGUACGUGAAAUUGUUGAAAGGGAAGCGUAUGUGGGCAGACUUGGACGCUGGAUUCAGGCCGYCUUCUGGCGGGUGYAUUUUCCAGCGGACAGGCCAGCAUCGGUUCUGAGGGCCGGACAAAGACGAAGGGAAUGUGGCUCCUCUCUGGGGAGUGUUAUAGCCCGGCGUGCAAUGCGGCCACUUGGGACCGAGGACCGCGCAUUUUGCAAGGAUGCUGGCGUAAUGGCCUCAUACGGCCCGUCUUGAAACACGGACC